AGAUGAAAUACAUCUAAUUGUAUUAAUAUUUUAACUAUAUUCAAAAUUUUAAAUUUUAAUAAACUAAAUAUAUUAAUAUACACCACAAUGCGUACAAAUAUGUAAAAUUACUUUUAUAAAUUUAAAAAUAAAUGUAACUUAAAAAUACUGAUAAAUAUUAAUUAUAUUUAAGAAAAUUAAUUUAAAAAUAAAUUAAUCAAUAGUGCCAGCAGUUGCGGCUAUACUUUAUAUUUAUCAUAUUUUAUCAAAUUGAUAUAUCUUUUAUAAUAAAAAACCAAAUUAUAGUGAAAUAUAUAUUUAAAAAUAUAAAUUUUAUUAAAUCAAUUAAAUACUAGACAACAAAAUAGGAUUAGAUACCCUAGUAUGCUAAAUUUCUAAGGUAGUAAUUCUAAUUAAAACCUAAUUACAAUGGCGGCUUUAUCCAAUUAGAGGAACUUGUUACAUAAUCGACAACCCACGUUAACUUUCACUUUAAUUAUAAAUUUAUAUAUCGCCAUCUAAAGAAUAAUUUCAAUCAAUUAUUCUUAAUAAUAUAUAAAAAGUUAGGUCAAGGUGUAGUUUAUAUUAAAGAUGUAAAUGAGUUACAUUAAACCAAAUUUAAGGACUUAAAAAACAAACUUUUUAACAAAAAAGGAUUUAUUAGUAUUAAUUUAAUAAUAUUUUAUUAUGAAAUAUAAUCAUAAAGUGCACAUAUCGCCCGUCACCCUUAAUUUCAAUUAAGGCAAGUCGUAACAUAGUUGAUAUUUUGGAAAAAGUAUCAAGAACAAU
rnacentral:ncRNA from 1 species